AACGUAGGAGACAAACGUUAUCCGGAGUUACUGGGCGUAAAGGGCGUGUAGGUGGUAGUGUAAGUCUGGCGUGAAAUUUUUCGGCUUAACCGGGAAAGGUCGUCGGAUACUGCACAACUAGAGGACGGUAGAGGCGUGUGGAAUUCCGGGUGUAGUGGUGAAAUGCGUAGAGAUCCGGAGGAACACCAGUGGCGAAGGCGCACGCUGGGCCGUACCUGACACUGAUGCGCGACAGCAUGGGGAGCAAACGAGG
rnacentral:rRNA from 1 species